rnacentral:rRNA from 1 species
CAUGCGAGUUAAUGUUCUUCGUGAACAUAGCGGAUUGCUCAGUAACACGUGGAUAACCUGCCCUAAGGUCUGGCAUAACCCCGGGAAACUGGGGAUAAUUCCGGAUAAACCAUAGAUACUGGAAUGUUCUGUGGUUAAAAGCUCCGGCGCCUUAGGAUGGAUCUGCGGCCUAUCAGGUAGUAGUGGGUGUAAUGUACCUACUAGCCUACGACGGGUACGGGUUGUGAGAGCAAGAGCCCGGAGAUGGAUUCUGAGACAUGAAUCCAGGCCCUACGGGGCGCAGCAGGCGCGAAAACUUUACAAUGCGGGAAACCGCGAUAAGGGGACACCGAGUGCCAGCAUAUUAUGUUGGCUGUCCACAUGUGUAAAUAACAUGUGUUAGCAAGGGCCGGGCAAGACCGGUGCCAGCCGCCGCGGUAACACCGGCGGCCCGAGUGGUAGCCACUAUUAUUGGGUCUAAAGGGUCCGUAGCCGGUUUGAUCAGUCUUCCGGGAAAUCUGACAGCUUAACUGUUAGGCUUCUGGGGGAUACUGUC